rnacentral:snoRNA from 1 species
CCAACGUGGAUACCCAGGGAGAUCACUCUCCCCAGGCUCUGUCCAGGUGGCGCAAGGGAGCAGAGGGCUCAGCCCAGUGAUGUGCAGUCCCAUUCCACAACGUUGCAGAUGAAGUCGGACUCUCAAGCCUGCACCCGCAUCUUCCUACAGCUUCUCAGAGUCCUGUGGACAAACCACGCAGGAAACAGUU